rnacentral:sRNA from 1 species
CUUUUCCGAUCUCUGCUGAUGUGCAACAAAUCUUACUGUGCUGAGAUCGCUCACAAUGUGUCCUCUAAGAACCGAAAAGCCAUCGUAGAAAGAGCAGCACAGCUGGCCA